AAAACAUUACGCAUCACUAGGGGCAACUGUGGGGCAACUGUGUAAUGAGCAUCAUACAGAACUCUAUGACAUAUACUAUUUAAAAUUCUUUUCUUUAGAGCUGCAGUUUGAAUCUGUCAUCAAUAAACGCCAUUGUCAUGGACGUAAAUGAGGCCAGGAUGGAUUGGACUGAGCUUGUUACCUGGAGUGGCUGAAAGAUGACAUAUUCUGAGAGCUCAUCCCUGAACACCGAAGGACAGCCGAGCCUCGUAACCCCUGUUCCAGGAGGGUUUGCAUGUAAACAUCGCUUGUCUACGCAGCUCACUGUUUAGAGAAAAUGUGUCACAUUUGAAAACUGUGACUCUUUUUUUUUUUGCUAUACUUAUUUCAUAAACUUAAGAGACAUAUGACUUGUUAUUUUCAUGGAGAAGUGAGUUUAGUGGCUGUUGUAAUCGAUAAAUUU